UCACUGUGAAAACCCGCGCUAACUUGGGCUUGCAGCUGUACGGGCAGGCUUGAUUCGGUAGGGGAGACUGGAAUUCCUGGUGUAGCGGUGAAAUGCGCAGAUAUCAGGAGGAACACCGGUGGCGAAGGCGGGUCUCUGGGCCGAUACUGACGCUGAGGAGCGAAAGCGUGGGGAGCGAACAGGAUUAGAUACCCUGGUAGUCCACGCUGUAAACGUUGGGCGCUAGGUGUGGGGGGCCUCUCCGGUUCUCUGUGCCGCAGCUAACGCAUUAAGCGCCCCGCCUGGGGAGUACGGCCGCAAGGCUAAAACUCAAAGGAAUUGACGGGGGCCCGCACAAGCGGCGGAGCAUGCGGAUUAAUUCGAUGCAACGCGAAGAACCUUACCUGGGUUUGACAUGGGCGCUAAAACCGCAGAUAUGUGGUGUCCUUCGGGGGCGUUCACAGGUGGUGCAUGGCUGUCGUCAGCUCGCGCUCGUGAGAUGCUUGGGUAAGUUCCCGCACCUAGCCCAACCC
rnacentral:rRNA from 1 species